rnacentral:rRNA from 1 species
CAGAGUUCAUGCCUAAUGGGUAGACNUCCCACCCUUGUGUAUUUAUACUAUGUUGCUUUGGUGGGUUGCGCCUGCGGGUGCUUUAGGGCUUGCUCGCCCGCCGAAGAAUAUUUAAACUCUGUUUAUUAGUGUUGUCUGAGUACUAUAUAAUAGUUAA